GUUUUAAAUAGCUACAGAAAUAGCAGAGAUUAAAAUUUUGCAAGAUUUUAAUUCUGGGCAGCUUGCCAAGUAACAGGCAAAUGAGGAUUCCAGUGCCUACGGAAAUACUAACUUUUUUAUGGAAUAGAAAAGGAAGGAAAAGCAAUAGUUGCAUUUCACUUACAGACAUUCGUGCAACCGACUGUGGUCAAAACCAAUCUGGCAAAGCUGAACCGCACAGAUCCAGCAUUGCCCCUCCAGCCUUCCAAAAGGAGACUCCAGCUUCAAAGAGCCACGAGAUUGACAUCAAAGGAGCAAACUGUUCUCCUCAGGGUCCUGACACUGUGCAGGUGACAGGGCCAACAACAUUCCUGCAGGAAAACCAGAGAGGGGAGAAGUCCAGGGGAACUUUUCACCACAGGGCUUGAAGAUCAUGAUUUCAAAGUUAAGGCAAAGUCUCUUGUUCUCAUGGAGUUACUGGUUUCAGAGGACUUUUUUUGCUUAAGCACUCAAGGUGUGCAGAGCUCUUUCCCUUCUCAACAGCCACUUGCAUCAAUCUGUUUAUUUGUAAUAAAUAAGUUUUAGAAUCUGUUUUAAAAGCAGCCCUGAUGUGCAACCUGGUAAUAUGGCCUAAGUACUAACAGCUUGUGUGUUUGAUUAUAAACAUUAUAACUCGCUCAAAAUAGACUUCCAAGGGUUUGGUUGCACUCCAUGUGAACUGGGAACCUAAGACACACUUAUGGAUAGGAAAGAAAAGAGCAGAGCUCCUCUCCAGAGUUUACCACUGCAGUGUGCUGUUCUCCUAAUUUCUGAGGAGGAAUUCUGGGUAAGCAGCAUUCUUAUGCUUACCUGGUGUCUUUAA